rnacentral:ncRNA from 2 species
GGCAACUGCCCCGUGAGGGGGUGUAAAUAUGCUAGAAACUUUAAUAUCGCUGAUUAUCGCUCCACUAUUCGUGGGUCUAGUACUCUUACUAGUUGAUCGCUGGCUAGACGAUUAGCCGAUAGUCGAAGCAGUUGCCUUCUGGCCCCAACGCUGGAGUCGCAACAGCGCAAA